GGCAGGUUGUCCUUGGCUAC
rnacentral:miRNA from 1 species